CCUACGAGUGGCAGCAGUGGGGAAUAUUGCACAAUGGGGGGAACCCUGAUGCAGCGACGCCGCGUGAGUGAAGACGUAUUUCGGUAUGUAAAGCUCUAUCAGCAGGGAAGCAAAUAACGGUACCUGACUAAGAAGCCGCGGCUAACUAAGAGCACGCAGCCGCAGCAAUACGUAGGGGGCAAGGGUUAUACGGAUUUACUGGGUGUAAAGGGAGCGCAGACGGCUGUGCAAGUCUGGAGUGAAAGGCGGGGGCCCAACCCCCGGACGGCUCGGGAAACGGUAAAGCUGGAGUGCAGGAGAGGUAAGCGGAAUUCCUAGUGUAGCGGUGAAAUGCGUAGAUAUUAGGAGGAACACCAGUUGCGAAGGCGGCGUACUGGAGUGCAACUGACGUUGAGGCUCGAAAGCGUGGGGAGCAAACAGGAUUAGAUACCCGUGUAGUC
rnacentral:rRNA from 1 species